rnacentral:rRNA from 1 species
UACGUAGGGAGCAAGCGUUGUCCGGAAUCAUUGGGCGUAAAGCGCGCGUAGGCGGCCUCAUAAGUCCGUUGUGAAAGUCAAAGGCUCAACCUUUGAAAGCCGAUGGAUACUGUGAGGCUAGAGUCCGGAAGAGGCGAGUGGAAUUCCUGGUGUAGCGGUGGAAUGCGCAGAUAUCAGGAGGAACACCAGUGGCGAAGGCGCCGCUCUGGGCCGUGACUGACGCUGAGGAGCGAAAGCGUGGGUAGCAAACAGG